GUGAAUUUGGGGCAUCAUUUGUAUUUUCUUUAUCACUGCAGUUCUCUGUCUCUGUCCAAGGGGCUGACAAGGGAAAUGAGAGAUGCCUUUCUGUUGCGGUGUCGAGACCUUGACUGUCACAAUGAUGUAUUUUUGUGGUGCCUCUUAGCCAAGGCAGUUCCAGAAAAUACGGGAUCACGAUGCAAAAAUGGUCAAGGAAGCUGAGAUGCGGUGGUAAAAGGGCUGGGAUCGAUGGAAGGUAUGAGAAUUAUAAUUUGUUUAUAUAGAGCCAUUGGUGUGUCUUGUGCUUUAUAGGUGAAAACAAAAAGAGAAAAUCUCUGUCUUAAGGGGCUUAUGUCUUAUGAGAUAGAACAGCAGGACAGCUGACAGUGACAAGGAAGGUUUGGGGAGCAAAAGGGUUGGGGCCAGGGAGAACACUCCUUGGAGGAUACAGACUCCCACAGGCAGCAACCAGUGCUUGCUUUUCUGGUGUUUAUUUUUUAACAUAAUGAAAUGUAUAGCUAUUUUUAUUAUAGAGGGGAGGCUACCGGCUGGGAAGGACAGCUGCAUGGAGUGGGAUUGGCUGGGGAGCAGUUGGCAUCUGGGCAGGAGUGUUGUCAUCGCUGGUGAAUCUGUAGUUGGUUUGCAUGGCUGUCAUGGCUUGCGGUGGAUGGGAAAUAUAACCCAUCUGAAAGCCUAGAUGUGUAACUGACUCAUCAGUUCACUUCAGUUUUAUGUGAAUUAAAGCAGGAGUUUGAAAACUGAUUACGGGGCAGAGAGGAAAGCAGAUUUUGCUGUAUGCAGCUGUCAGAUCGUUCUUCAAAGAAGCAUUGAUAAAUGUCAGGAGCCAGUAACCCCCAGAUCUCUGUUUUAAACAUUGUUUUCUGCAUCUGAGAGAUUCUGCUGCAAUAACCAGCUAUAUUUGCAGCAAGGCUGACACUGCCCUGAUCCUCAUCAAAGGAGAAUAGAGGCCUUUUCACCUGUUGUUCUGUUUUUUUUUUAAAGAAACCUGAUAUUUGCUGAAUGAGUCACUCAGAUAAAACUGUCAAAAGCAAAGCUUUCCAAACCACAGUGUAACUGUAUACGCAUUCCAAAUAAAUGAAGUUUCCACAUUAAAGUGACACUGUAUAUAUUUUUCAUAGUACCCCUAAUAACUGUACUUAGUUGCUCUAUGAGGGUAUUAAAACACACACAAUGCAGAAUUACACAAGAAUGUCCGGUUCUUUGAAAAACAAGAACACCCUACGUAACCAAAUAUAUUCAACAAACCAAGAAACAGACACAGGGCUAGAGUAGUUGCACAAUGCAGACUGCAGCAAUCUCAGGAUUUGAUGGACAAUCAGAAGGUGUGAGAUCCAAGCUGUAGUGAGCCAGCUCAGCCUCUUCCAGGGAGAAGUCCACAAGAGAAGAGAGAAAAUUCCCUAAGGUUCCACUUGCAGAGUUUCCUGUCAGUUGUGCCUAAUAGGGUGUGGGGGAGUCAUCCCAACUUCAUAGAUCCUAGUGAUUCAUAGGAAAGAAACUCCCUUCCACCUCUGAAUUCUUGUGUGGUUUUCUGUGACGUCACAGCACGGGUACUGGCUGGGUCUCCCUGCAGCUGCUGAGCAGCAGGCACAGGAAGGAGACAGAGAAAGUAAAUACAAUUUAAUGCAGAAAUCUGGGCAAGCUGCUGUGCAUGGUGCCAAGGAGCAUGUGGCGACUCCCCAGCUCCACUCCUGAAACUCCAUGAAGUCACAAUGAAGGGGCUUCUAUAAGGUGUUGGGGCAGUGCCAAAGCAGAAACACUGCCAGCAAAAGAACUACCCAUGGAAAUACCCCCAGGUGAGUACAUGGAGGGUUGUUCCAGGCCCACGUUAACCAGGGAUGAGUCAAGUUGUUUGACAUUUCAAAUCCACAAGAACUCUGUGAGUUUGCAAGCUUUGGUUCAAACGCAAAUGUGAUGAGGUUUGCUUUCAGCUAAGGAGAGGCUGGAAAAGGAAUGGAAAAUGGGAGAGAGGAAAAAUAUCCCUGGGGGGAAAUGGAACAGACAA